rnacentral:rRNA from 1 species
AUCAACUUUCGAUGGUAGGAUAGAGGCCUACCAUGGUGGUAACGGGUAACGGGGUGUUAGGGCACGACACCGGAGAGGGAGCCUGAGAAACGGCUACCACAUCCAAGGAUGGCAGCAGGCGCGCAAAUUACCCAAUCCCGACACGGGGAGGUAGUGACAAUAAAUAACAAUACGGGGUCCUUACGGGUUUCGUAAUUGGAAUGAGUACAAUUUAAAUCUCUUAACGAGGAACAAUUGGAGGGCAAGUCUGGUGCCAGCAGCCGCGGUAAUUCCAGCUCCAAUAGCGUAUAUUAAAGUUGUUGCAGUUAAAAAGCUCGUAGUUGAAUUUCGGGGUUAGUAGAUUGGUCGUGCCACUGGUAUGCACUGGUCUUACUGAUUCCUCCUUCCUGAUGAACCGUAAUGCCAUUAAUUUGGUGUUGCGGGGAGACUGGACUGUUACUUUGAAAAAAUUAGAGUGUUUAAAGCAGGCUAACGCUUGAAUACAUUAGCAUGGAAUAAUGAAAUAGGACGUUCGAUCCUAUUUUGUUGGUUUCUAGGAUUGACGUAAUGAUUAAUAGGGAUAGUUGGGGGCAUUAGUAUUCAAUUGUCAGAGGUGAAAUUCUUGGAUUUAUUGAAGACUAACUACUGCGAAAGCAUUUGCCAAGGAUGUUUUCAUUAAUCAAGAACGAAAGUUAGGGGAUCGAAGACGAUCAGAUACCGUCGUAGUCUUAACCAUAAACUAUGCCGACUAGGGAUCGGAUGAUGUUAUUUUUAAUGACUCAUUCGGCGCCUUACGGGAAACCAAAGUGUUUGGGUUC